GUACUUGCUUUGGCAGUACAUAUACUAAAAUUGGAACAAUACGAGAUUAACAUGGCCUCUGGGCAAGGAUGACAUUCAAAUUUGUGAAGCGUUCCAUAUUUAA
rfam:Myotis davidii contig46342, whole genome shotgun sequence.